GACGAACGCUGGCGGCGUGCUUAACACAUGCAAGUCGAACGGAAAGGCCCUGCUUUUGUGGGGUGCUCGAGUGGCGAACGGGUGAGUAACACGUGAGUAACCUGCCCUUGACUUUGGGAUAACUUCAGGAAACUGGGGCUAAUACCGGAUAGGAGCUCCUGCUGCAUGGAGGGGGUUGGAAAGAUUCGGCGGUUGGGGAUGGACUCGCGGCUUAUCAGCUUGUUGGUGGGGUAGUGGCUUACCAAGGCUUUGACGGGUAGCCGGCCUGAGAGGGUGACCGGCCACAUUGGGACUGAGAGACGGCCCAGACUCCUACGGGAGGCAGCAGUGGGGAAUAUUGCACAAUGGGCGGAAGCCUGAUGCAGCAACGCCGCGUGCGGGAUGACGGCCUUCGGGUUGUAAACCGCUUUCGCCUGUGACGAAGCGUGAGUGACGGUAAUGGGUAAAGAAGCACCGGCUAACUACGUG
rnacentral:rRNA from 1 species